CUUAAUCCAACAUCGAGGUCGCAAACCCCCCUGCCGAUAAGAACUCUCAAGGGAGAUAACGCUGUUAUCCCUAAGGUAAUUUAAUCUUACAAUCAAAAUAAAUGGAUCAAGCAAAUAUAAAUAAAUAUAACAACACAAAGGAGGGGUUAAAUAAUAUCCCUCCCAUCACCCCAACAAAACAUAUUAGACAGCCCUAGUGAACCCUCACAAACAGAAAGAGACCAUAAUAAAUGUCAAACUCUAUAGGGUCUUCUCGUCCCAUAAAAACAUCUAAGAAUUUUAACUCAAAGACCAAAUUCAAUAAACAAUUCAAAAUUAAGACAGCUUAUGCCUCGUCAAGCCAUUCAUACCAGAUCACAAUUAAAGAACUAAUGACUAUGCUACCUUUGCACGGUCAAAAUACCGCGGCCCUUCAACAUUCAAGGUCAGUGGGCAGGCCAUACUUCAAAAACUAA
rnacentral:rRNA from 1 species